GAUGAACGCUGGCGGCGUGCCUAAUACAUGCAAGUCGAGCGAACAGACGAGGAGCUGCUCCUCUGACGUUAGCGGCGGACGGGUGAGUAACACGUGGAUAACCUACCUAUAAGACUGGGAUAACUUCGGGAAACCGGAGCUAAUACCGGAUAAUAUAUUGAACCGCAUGGUUCAAUAGUGAAAGACGGUUUUGCUGUCACUUAUAGAUGGAUCCGCGCCGCAUUAGCUAGUUGGUAAGGUAACGGCUUACCAAGGCAACGAUGCGUAGCCGACCUGAGAGGGUGAUCGGCCACACUGGAACUGAGACACGGUCCAGACUCCUACGGGAGGCAGCAGUAGGGAAUCUUCCGCAAUGGGCGAAAGCCUGACGGAGCAACGCCGCGUGAGUGGUGAAGGUCUUCGGAUCGUAAAACUCUGUUAUUAGGGAAGAACAAAUGUGUAAGUAACUAUGCACGUCUUGACGGUACCUAAUCAGAAAGCCACGGCUAACUACGUG
rnacentral:rRNA from 1 species